rnacentral:lncRNA from 1 species
UGGGCACCCCUGACGAAAGGCAGUUUAGAGCCUCCCAAAGGACAGAAGAGAGAAAACCUGAAGCUUGGAGCUCUGGACAGACAUGUCCUACUAGCGGCUCCUUUCCAAGAGGACAGAUUCUGAAUGAAGCAACAAUCACCAACAGAAAAACAGAGUGAAGCAUUAUGGUAACCACACGAAGUUCCUGAAAAUUGGAGCCACUGGUCCUCAUUCUACUCUCUGGGAAGCCAAAAAAGCGUUUACUGAGGACCUAAUACGUGCCAUGUGCUGUACCAGAUGGUGAGUAUACAGAGAUCAUUCCCACUCUCAAGUCUCAUCUGAUCUUCACCUCCCACCCAAUUGCCUUGCCUCUCUGACUUCUGUGGGCUCAGAUGAUCUCCAAUCGACCAUCAUGGCCAGCCGCAGAGCCUGACUAUA